GCGGGUUCUGCUGAAGGUGCUGUUCUCAACCACUUCCUCACCUACAAUUUCGAGGAUUGCAGGCUGGUUACUGAUCUCCCCGGGGCUAAGGGCAGGCCGGCCCUUCUGGACCCUGGCACCCCCUCCCCCCCAACUAACUCAGACUUCUCUGGCUGGAGACAAGGAGGGGGCUGGGGUGCACAGUCACUGCUGAUUCAAGAAGAAAGAGCUGCUAACGACAGCAGAAGUAUCCUGAGGACUUCGUGCCAGGCCCUGGGCGCCCCAUGCUUCGGGGGAUUGUCGCAUUUCAUGGCUUGGUGAGGUGGGAACACCGAGCCCCCCUCACCGAGACGACAACCCCUGCAAACAGAAGUCAUCUCUGGAAAACAGGUGGGACAACUGAGGCCCCAGGACACAGAGCCAGCCAGAAUUCGAACAUGCUUUCUGAGUGCCCUGGGGAGGUCCAAACCCAUCCGGGGGCGCCAGGUGAAAGAAGAGAGCAAGGAGCGUGGGGCAAGGGCUCCCGGAGAAGGUGACCUGUGAGCUACGCCCUCGAAGCUGUCUGAUUUGGUCUCGCCAGGUUCUGAAGGGAAGAUCUCUAGCAGAGAAGAGCGAGCUAAGGCCUGCAGGGUGGUGUGUGCGUAGAGGUGUUUGUGUUGGAGGGGGCGGGUUGUGGGUUGCAAGGAAUUGCUGGCGUCUGUACACCCAGAGCCUCUGUCUCCCGGGGCCGUCACCUUUCCUCCACCCCCUAACCGCACACAGGAGAAAUUCGAUCCAUAUUUCCACGAUUCUGUUGAUGAUGCGUGCGUGCCUGGGUAAGAAGGCAGGGUGUCGGGGAAAAUGUUUCAGGAUGUAAACAUAGCCUGGGCAAAGAUGUGGAACUGUGGAGGAGUUUAGAGAACAGAAGGUUCCCUGUGGUUGGAAUAUGGGUUUGUGGGGGUCAGGACUGAGAGCCGAUAGCCACAUUUCCAGGGUGUUCAACGGCCUGGCCUGGGCUGGUAUGCCAAUGAGAUACUCCUGAAGCCAGUGAGGUCUGUGGGAGAGAGACCCCCAGUCCCUCUACGGAGGGAAUCGGGUCACAGGACUGCUGGGGCCAGGCUGGUGGGGAGCUACAGUAGACGUGACAGACUGGCCGCCCUCCACCCCUGUUCGGGUUAUGGCUUCUCCCCUCCCCACUCAGCCAAACCCCCCCCCCACCCCCGCCUGCUUAGGGCAAGGUGAGGAGCAGCCCGGAGGCACAGGACAAAGGGUGUCAGAUACCCAAGACAAUACCUCAAUCUGUCUCAACUCCGAGGUGGCCUCUCCUGUGGCCUGAGGCUCUAGAGAAGCCCCAGGCAGAGCAGGGCUGGGCCUCCUGCAGACAGGAGACAUCAGGUCUGUGUGUAGUCUGCACCCAGCUCUCCGUACCAGGUGUGAUGUGGGAUCAGAGCAGGGAAGUCACUGACCCAGGGUCACACAGCUUGCGAGUCACUGAGAGAGCAUCCAGAUUCCUAUCCGAGACCGUGCAUGCUCUGCCCAGCCCUCCGUGCUCUGGACCCCCGUGAUGACACUGGGACAACACUCUGCGUUUCCAAGUGAGAGAGUCAGUUUCCCUGAGACACCCAGCCCCACCCCAGGCUUCACACUUGCAACACCCUUCAAAGUCAUAGACCCUCGGGACCCUUGCUGCAUCCCCAGGAGCCAGGCCCCAUCAGUGAUCAAUUCAUCUUAAAGGCAGAGUCCUAUGGAACUGGAGGGGAUUAUGCUAAGUGAAGUAAGUCAAGCAGAGAACGACAAUUAUCAUAGGGUUUCACUCAUAUGUGGAACGUAAGCAAUAGCA